UAAGAGAAUUUCGUAAUGGAGUUCGAUCAAUUGUGCCUACAUCUCCGGGAGCGCUGAGCGACUAGCAAGAUAUUAUUACAGAAUAUGAAUUACAAACCCUAACAUACCCAUGGGCCCAAGUGCCCAUGAGGUAUUUCUAUUUUAUGUUUCUAUCUGGUGCACUUAAUAACAAGGGACCUGAGUCCAAUAUAUAAUAUUCAUGUUCUACUCUAUUUUAAUCAUAGGCAAUAUGAGACUAACACAAUAACAUAUUUCAAGCAUCCCUAACAUUCUCCACCUUCAUUGAAAUAGAUGAAUAUCUCGCUCCUUAUGAAAUCUACUAAAAAAUUUCCACCUUAGCGAAUAUAUGACUUCAACUUGCUCAAAGCCCAAUUUUCUUUAACAACUCCUCAACAUAAGAGUCAACUCUCCUACAACAUAAACCUUUUGAGUAUCCUUGACGGUGUUACUAAGAGCCUAGCUCUCCAAACUUUUAGUGAUGUUUCCUGUACCGCCGUCAAAUGAAACAUAUUGGCUAGCCACCUAUUACUAGGAAGUCUUUCGAUAUAUGAAACCUCUACAUAAAAGUUCACCAAUCGCCCUCUUCAAUACUCAGUCAAACUGGACCAUUGAGCUUCAUUGGAAAGCCUCAACCGCUACCACCAUUUUCUAGUCCGACAAUCAUAGUUCAAAAGAACUACCAUACUCCACUAUAAGGAUUAUACCUGCAGCACACACCUUGCAUCAAUGCUAACCAUUGCUCGUGUCACAUCCUUGUAUUCAAGCCAAUGCUCAUGUCACAUCUUGCAUCUUUACCAAUGCUCAUGUCACACCCUGCAUCUUUACCAACAUCCGUGUUACACCUUGCAUCAAAUUUAAUGCCCAUGUUACACACUACGUCAAAGUCAGUCAAUGCCUCUAUGCUUUUUUGGAUUUUCUAACAAUUAAUAUCAUUCACUAUGACGUUCCAGACAUGCCAUUAUGAUAUUCCACUUUUCAUCUCAAAUGAUAUCAUUCUCUCAACAUCUAGAGAGAUAUUGUCAAUACUUGUCUCAAGGCCUAACUCAACACAUGAGUCCCUAUCUCCACAUUGAUCCUAAUCCAGUACAUCAAAUUUUGUGGUUCUAGAUCAACAUAUAUCACCCCACCAUAAUUUCGUCAUAUUUUCUUCUCAUUCAACUCAUCUAAUUUAUCAUUGCAUAGUACCUUUGACACACAUUGUCUAGCCAUCACGCCUUCACUCUCUUUAGCCAUUAUCUUGCGCAUGGGUUAAGAGUCAUCUACCAAUUGGCUUGGAUACCAAUUAAAUAAAUUUGUGUAACAUUGGCCACAAGCAACCAAAUAAAGUGCAUAGAAUAAAUAGAAGAGAAUAAACGAGAGAAAUUGGUAACGAGGUUCGACCAAUUGUGUCUAUGUCCCCGGAAGCGCUGGGUGGCUACCAAGAUAUUAUUAGAGAAUAAGGAUUACAAACCCUAACACACCUAUGAGUCCAAAUGCCCAUAGGGUGUUUUCAUUUUGUAUAUCUAUCUGGUGCACUUAAUAACAAGGGACCUAAGUCUAAUAUAUAACAUUGACAAUACUAGGCAACGUGAGACUAACACAAUAAUAUAUUUCAAGUAUCCCCAACCAUUACCGUUAUAAAAACGAUUCUCAAUCUUUGUAAUAGUCACAAUACUAUCAUAAUGAAUCACCAUUGCUGGUACCAAUUUUUUCUAUAGGGGAAUCUCUAUAAGUAAGUUUCUCAACCAACUUACUUUUUCAUUAGUCGUUGUUAGUGUUAUCAUCUAGACUUCUAUAGUGGAUUGAACAAAAAUUGUAUGUUUCUUUGACUUUCAAGAAACAAUCUCACUAGCUAUACUAAAUAUAUAGCAUUGGUUGCUUUUGGAAUCAUAUGAAAGAAUAUUCCAAUUAGCAUCACUAAAUCCUUUAGGACAAUCGAAAACCCUAGGUAGUAUAAUCUAAGGUUCAUUGUUCUCUUACGGUACCUCAUGACUCUUUCUAUAGCAUGUCAAUGCUCCAUACUAGGUCUACUUAUAUGCACAAUAAUCAUACAACAUAGACAAUGUCGGGUCUAGUGCAAUCAAUGUCAUACUGACGGCUGUCAAUGAUGUCAACAUCAUUAUUUUGUCUUGCACCUUCACUAGUAUUCCUAAAUAAUUUUAUACUUGGAUCAUAUAGUGUGCUAACAGGUUUGUAGUCAAAAUAUUUAUAUUUCUUUAAGAUUUUCUCCAUAUAGUGAGUCUGAUCCAAAGAAAUUUUUUCUUUUGACAUAGUAAUAUUUAUACCAAUAAUUAUAUUUCUCUCUCCAAGGUCUUUCAUAUCAAAGUUGUUACACAAUAAUGAUUUCACAUUAUUCACGACAUGCAUGUUGGAACCAAAUAUGAGUAAGUUGCCUACAUAUAGACAUACGAUAGUGCAAAUAUUAUUUUCGGAGUUGUAAAAAUGCAUUUGUCACUUUCAUUCACCUUCAAACCCAUUUGAGACAAUCAAAUUGUCAGACUUUUCAUGCCGCUAUUUAGGUGCUUGCUUAAGACCAUACAACAACUUAUCUAACUUGCAGACCUUAUUUUCUUGCCCAUGGAUUACAAAACCUUCAUGUUGUUUCAUAUAUAUUUCUUCUUUUAAAUCACCAUUUAAACGGUCUUUACAUCCAUUUAAUGUACAACUAAGUCAUGUAUCAUAACAGGCAAUGUUAGUAAUCUAAUAGAUGUUAUUCUAGCCACAAGUGAAAAUGUAUCGAAGAAAUUUACAUUAUCCAUUUAUCUAAACCUCUUUGCUACAAGGCGAGCCUUAUAUUUAUCCAUUGUACCAUCAGGUUUUAGUUUAUUUUUCAAUAUCCACUUACAACUAAUGAGAUUGCAACUAGGAGGCAUUUUGGCUAAAUGCGAGGUCUUAUUAGACUCUAUAGAACCUAUCUCAUCAUUUAUGGCCUCUUGUCACAAAUCAACAUCCAUAGAAGUCAUAGCUUCUUGAAUAUUUGAUAGAUCAUCUUCUUAUAGGUUUUAUCUCUAACCUUUCAUCUUUAUAAUUAUCUCUAAUCAUAGGUAUGUGACUAGCUGAAGUACCCUCACUAUUUCUCAAUUUGAAAGAUAAUUUAUUUUUAUUGAAGUCAACAUCGUUAUAUCCAAUGAUCAUUUUUGUGCAAGAUCAUAAAACAUGCAUGUCUUACUAUUUAUAACAUACCCGGUGAAUACACAUUUAGAAGCUCUACUUGUGAGUUUAACCCAUAUUCUCAAUUAAGAUGAAUUUGAUUGUCUAUUCUUAAAAUUUUCAUGUAGGAAAAUUUUGCUUUUAGCCUUAAGGACUCUAUUUAGCAUAUAGAAAACAAUUAAUAAAAUUUCACCCCACCAAGAGGGUGCUGCACCAGAAUUUUGCAUAAUAGGUAUUACAGUUAAUGUUCUAUUCUUUCUUUCAGCUCUACCAUUCAUUUCAUGUGAAUAUGGUGUAGUUGUUUCAUGAAUAAUAUCAUUUACUUUAUAAAAUUCAUCGAACAUGCUAGAAUCAUACUCAAUGCCUAUAUCACUUCUGAGUUUCUUUAUUUUUUCUAUCAACUUAGAUUACUUAGAGAUGCGAACAAAAUCAAAAGUGCAAGUUAAUAUAGCUUUUAAAAAAUUUCAUGAAAAAUGUAUAGCUCAAUACUUGCAUCACUCAUACAACCUCCAGAUUUAAGAUAACUUCUAUCAUUUUAAAGUUCAUGCCACUUAUGAUGACUAAGUAUAACUUAUUACAAUUAGAGUAAAAUAUAUUUUCAAUAAACAUGUUAUUCCAUACACAUAUCACUCUUUAUGCAAUGUGCAAGUGAAGUUAACAUUAAGAAGCCAAAAGUUUUAGUGAAGUUAUCCAAUAUUAGGCCAAAUUGACCCUCUUUGUGAGGUUUGGGUUGUUCUCAGUCCAACAAGAGUAAGCUCUUAUCUGCACAACAACACACAUCAAAGCACAAAAUACAAAAACAGAAACAAAAGUAAAACAGAAAAAUAUAUUGGGUUGUCUCAUAGGAAGCCCUUCUUUAAUGUCACUUGUUUUACGUUACUUCGUGAUCUUAGGGAUCACGGAGUUUGAUCAACCAAAACACUAUGACAUUUAUGUGUUGAUACCAUUGCAUAAUGAUGUUUAAUCUUUCCAACAAUAGGCACUAGACUUAAUUGAUUUGAUCAUUUUUAUGCUUUUCCUAGGACUUAUCCUUCAAUUUAUCAUCUCUUCUGAGAGAGUGUGUAUGCUAAAGAUGAAAUCAUUGGCAAUGCUUGUAUGUGCCAUAUGAAAUUGUGAAAUGCAUGGCCUAACUACUAGUAAACUAUCAACUAACCUUUCCUUGACAAUUUUACCUAUUGUCUCCUCAACUUCAUGAGUGAGAGGUUGAUGAUCAGUGUAAACCAGUGUAAUGGUUGAUGGUUCUUCUGGUUGAGAAACUUGAAGAUUAUUUAAGUGUGUGGUUACAAACAUACUUGAGUCUCUAGAUUUCUCAAUGAGACGUCAAAACUCCUCUCGCUCUCUAGAGGCAAUUCCAUGAAUUUAUGUAUGCUACUUUCAAGUUUGGAGGUUCUGUCUAGGUAAGGGUCCUCCAUAUAUUGCAACUCCCUCCCCCCGUAAAGGGUUAUGGGUAAUACAUGGUCAGGCGAUUAACAUCCCUCACAAGUCACUCUUUAUUGAAUUGUGGUUAUCUGCCAAUUGAGUAUAUCGAGUUCAUGUAAGAGCAUCAUGUUUAUGAUUAAAAGUUCAUCAUGAGUUGAGUCGUGAUAAAAUGUCUCAUAAUCCAUGUUGGCUUUUAGACCCUAAACACACACAAAAUACCUCAAGUGUAGAUUAAUAAACCCAACUUGCAGAAAAAAAAUGUAAACAAAAAUUAAAAUUGCUUGAAAUGAUAAUUUAAUUAUGUAAUGCUAAGAUUUAGAUGCAAAUCCUUGGCAACAAUGUCAUUUUGAUUGCCGAAAAAUUGAUAUUGAAAUUGCUAAACAAUGUCAUAAACAAGUAUAAAGUAUAAACUUUUGUUGAGUCUGGUCAAGUUUUAUCCAGAAAUAUGGCUUUUUCGAUUAUUCAUUUGGAUUAAGCCUACAGAUGAUAUUUGACCAUUUAAACAAGUUUUAAUCAUAUAUAAGUAUAAUUUCAUCUAUUAGAGGUGAUUAAGUAGUUAAAAUGUCAUAAAAAUAGUGUGGAUUAUAUGAUCAAUUUGAUAGGACAAAAAGAGUCAAAAUAUACAUGUUCAUGUGAAAAUUUGGUCCUAAUUGAUAAUGUCACAUGAUAGGCCAUAAUAUAUUUUUAUUUAUGAAACAAAUUGGUCCUUAAAAUUUUAAUUACAUUCACUUUUCUAUGGACUAAAUUGUUUCAAAAAAAAGUUUGAGGGAUUAUUAUUUUACCAAAAAUAUCUUUAGGGAUUAUGUGGCCACUUUCUAUUUUCCGGACCAAAUUGUUAAUUCCCUCAAACAUUUUUUUUGGGGUCUAAUUGAAUAGAAGAAAGGGGUCAAUUUGGGAUUUUAUUUCUAAAUGUGCAUGUUUAAUAAGCAUAGUAUAUUUUGUUUAGUAUUCUUCUCAUCCUAAACCUUUUUUACAAAAAAAUAAUUAAUUAAAAAACUCUUGUUAUCAUAGAAAAAAUAAUUAGUACUUUGGUGGAAAAGGAUCAAUUUUUAUUUUUACAUAUCAACCCUUCAAAGUCUAAAUGAAGAGUUUAAUGCCACUACAAUAAGGCUAAAAUUUCAAUUUGAUCUCUCAUUUCUUCAAAUAUUUCAGUUAUUUAAAAAAUAAUUAGUAAAUGACAGCUGUAAUUUUAUCAAUUAUAAUAGGUUAAGUAAAACCUGAGUUAACUUUUCACCUAUAGUGAAAACGUUUAUUAGCUUUUCAUAAAGCCUAAAAGAGCACGAAAUAAAAAUCAUAUUAAUUCUUAUUGAUCCCUCAGGACAAUAUAAAGAAAAUAUGUCUAGUAGAAUCAAUGAAAACAAACUAUAUUGCUAUAUUAUUUUAUGAGUUUAUUUACGAUGUAUAGCUUUUCUAAACAAAACAUUGUUUAUAUACGUAGUAGAAACCAACACAACAUUGAUCUAGUAGUGUAAGGUCAUAUUAGAUUUCUAGGAUGAGCGACACGACGUUGAUUUAGUGGUAUAAGACCCCGACAGAUCCUUAGGAUGACCAAAAAGUCAAGGGUUUGAUUCCUAGGAGAGGCAGUCACACAUCCUAAAAGAGACUAGUUCAUUACCUAAAAGGUAAGAGGAUAUCUUUGGUAGUACCAAAAAAUAUAGUAGAGUCAAAUUAUUAAGGAAUUUAGUUAUCUCCAAACUAUUUAUUGAUUGUGAGUGUAAAAUUUUAAUACUAUUAUUACUUAAUCACAUAACUCUACAUUCUUGACUUUUAGAAUGAUGGUCCUAUGUACUAGGAAUAUUUAUGGUUUCAAAAAACAUUUUACUAUUAAAAUCAUACAUUUAAGAUUUUCAAGAUAUUAAAUAUAUAAUUUUUGAUAUAUAGUUUUUUAUAUUUUGAAUGCAGUUAAAACCAUGUUAUAAUAUGAUAGUAUCUAUUAAUUAUAAAUAAGGAAAUUCACUUACUUCAAGAGUAAGUUUUUUAAUCUUACUCUUCAUCCUAACCAUCAAUUUAGGAAAAUCUAAUGGUUUGAAUUAGUUAAUAGACCUAAAUCAUUAGAUAUACAUAAAAUUGAUGGUUAGGAUGAAGAUUAAGUUUUAAAAACUUACUCUUGAAGUAAGUGGAUUUCCACUCUUAAUUAAUAUUUAUUAAUCCAUAUUUUUAUUCAAUUGACCAACAAAGUGUUGGUCUAGUGGUGUAAUGACGCAUUAGAUUCCUAGGAUGACCAAAAGAUCAAAUGUUCAAAUCCUAAUAGCUGCAUUUUUUGGGAGCGAUAAUCACACAUUCCGAAAAAGAUUAGUUUUUUACCCAAAAGAUUGAGGGGAUACUCUGGAUAAUACCAAAAAAAAUAUUUUUAUUCAAUUGGUUAAUUUUAGGGUUCUCUCAUCUUUUUAAAACUAUAUAUUGUAAGCUGUUAACUAUAUUAUUCAGCUGACAUAUUAAAUAUAUGAGGAAAACAAACUAAACAAACUCUUAAAUACAUGCUUAUGUUGUUUUCCAAAGUCAUUAUAAAUAUAUCAUAACUACCCUAUUGACCUCAUUUUUAAAACACUUAUUACUAUAAUUUUUUCUCCUUGUCUAAUUUUUAUUUACCCAUCUUCUUAAUAGAGAAAAAAAAUGGAUUUUAAUCCUCAAAAUUCUGAGAAAUAUGAACACACAAAAUGGAGUAGUUCUAAUGAUCAAAGUGGUGUAGGACAAGUUAUAAGGUCAUUUACUUGUGCUUUUUGUAAGAGAGGAUUCUCAAAUGCACAAGCACUAGGUGGCCACAUGAAUAUUCAUAGAAGAGAUAGAGCCAAACUUAGACAAUCUUGUGAAGAAAAUUUUAUUUCUUUAGAUAUUUCAAUGAAGAAAACCAAUGAUCAUGAUGAAAUUCUUCAUCAACUUAAGGAUCAUGAUCAUGAUCAUGAUAAUGAUGCACUUCCUUUAUUUAUCGGGAGAGAAAGUUCUAGUUCGAGUUCCAGCAAUGAAAUAAAGGGAAAUAGUGUUGUAAUGGAGAUAAUUGAAGAGAAGAAAAGUGAGUUAGAUCUUGAACUACGUUUAGGUAUUGAGCCACAAGAGACACCAAAUUUGAGCACAAGAGAAUUCUUUUGAGACUUUUAUUGGAAAUUCAUAAAGAGGUUCUUGUUUUUCCAUAUCUACCUCUUCUAUAUCACAUUCUCCUAUAUAUAUAUUAAGGUAAUUAAAAUGUCAUAUUAAUUAGUUUAAUAAAAUGGGACAUUAUCUCAUACCCCAAAAAUGGGACAUUGUCCUAUAAAUAUAUAUGUUGAUAUUGUUUGUAUAUGUUCUAUAUGUUGUUGAUGGUUUGUGAUGGAAUAGUGGUGCUCUUAAAUGUCUAUUUACUUUACUUAUUGAUCAAUUAUAAUUUAGUAAAAUAAAAAACAAAAAUUAGUAUGAGGAGUUAGUUAGAAGUAUGAAUAUAAAUUUAGAGUGCAAAUAAUUCGACCCUAAAAUAGGUAAAAUCAAUUAUUACUUUGUGAACAUAUAAUUGGUUGGUGUUUUUUUACAUUUAUGGAUGAAGUUAUUUGUUUCUCUUUCUAUAUAAAUGAACCAAUAGACAAAUGUGUAGUAGGGGUGAGCAGAACUCGAUCCUACCAGCUCACCUCGUUUGACUGAUGAAUAUGGUCGGGUUUAUGUCGAAUCCAGGUUAAAAAUUUAGACCCAAAUAACAUUUAGGAUCAGACAAUAAUAAGCAUGACUCGACUCAUCCAUCUCAUGAUCGUUCAUUCAUCAUAUUUGUAUGUAAUUCUAUUUAAUUAUUUAUAAAUUAAUGACAUUUAUUUGGUCAAAAUAUUAUUGGUUCUCUAAUUUUUCAUCAUAUAUACAUAAUUAACAUUAUAUACAUAUGUCAUUUCAUAUGUCAAAUUAUAUAUAAAUAAUAAUAAAUAAUACUAAGAAUAUUUUAUCGAAAAUGAUAUACAUAUAUAUUUGAUCGAGUAUGUGACUGAAUUUAGGUUCAAAGACUAGCCCAGAUGAUAUAUGAAGUCAGAAUAUCUUCAAGUCUAGAAUCAGAUUUAAGUUCAUAAAAAUAAUUCAAACAAUAUUUAUGAUCGAGUAAGGGAUAAGUGUUACUCUUCCUAACCCAACCCAUUUUUUGUGUUAGUAUUAUGUUGUGAGUGAGACUCCACUCUCAAUCUCCUAUACUUCAUUCCUUAUGACUACCCUCUUCACCAUCAGAUCACCUUAUGACUCCACACUCACACUGUAUAAAACCAAUUCAUUCCAAUCAUGUAAGCUACAUUUUCACCAAUUAUUAAUUUUGUUUUAUUAGUUUUGUUCAUAGUUAGUGUGUUUCAUUAGUAUAAUUAAUAUCGCACAUAUUUUGUCUCAUUAAUAUAAUAUUUUAAGCCGGAGGGAUUAAAUAUAUAGUAUGAAUUAGUUAUAUAUCUAUAAGUGUAGUGGGUAACUAAUAUCUAUAUGAUAGGUUUUAUUAGAGUAUUAAGUAAGAGUCAUGUAAAUGAAUUACUAAAGCCUCAAAUCUUAAUUUCAGCUUCAAUUUAAGACUUUCUUAAGACUAAGAAUAUGAAUACAAAUAUCUAUUUUCAUUCCAAGGAAAUUGUGUUGGUAGUAAUAUUUUUUUGUUGUAGUCGCUAUAAGUAUUGUUGAGGGAAAUACAUCUAUUGUCCCACAUUUUGUGUCACCCCAUGUGUAUGAAUUAUCAUUGGUUGAAAAAUAUAUUUAAAUUAAAAGUUUAAUUAUUAAGUAUUUUUCUAACUAAUCACAUCUCAUAAUACAUAGAAUAACACAAUAUCAUGAGAUAGAAGAUAUGGUCCACAUGUUGAGUAAUUGAGAUGGAAAAGUCUAAUGUGGAAAAAUAUAUGUAAAAAAAUAGUUGUGUUCUAAGGGCUAUAGUAACCCUUUAUGAUUUGAAAGGUUAAACCUUAAACUUGAUAAAUAGUUGAAAUUUGAAUUCUCGAAAAGACCAAAAUGUUAAACAUUUGAAUACUUAGAGUAAUACUUAGUGAGAGGAGCAAUUACGUAUCAUGAAAAGAUUAGUUGACAUACGUUAAUACGAUAAUACAUUUGGUAAUAUUGAACAAAAUUGUCUUGGUAGUAAUAUUUCUAUUGUAAGUAGCUAUAAGUAAUUAAUGAAUAAUUUACUAUGAUAUGCAAAUUAAAUGAAAUUGAUUAUAUAUAUAUAUAUAUAUAGCUAUCAUAAUAUGUUGAGGGGAUUAAUUACAUAUUUUUUACUUAUACUCAUUUUCGGUCAUUAAUCUAGAUUUGUAUCUAGUAAUGAUCAUGACUUCAACUAACUAUACCAAUGAUGAAAAUAUGAUCAAGGGUUAAAAUUGAGUGUAUAUGAAAAAUCAUCCAUCUCCUCACCUAAAUAAUAUAACAUAGAGUAAAUUACAUUGACACUUUCUAAAUUUUAGUUAAAUUACACAAAUCACCCAUCACUUUUCUACACCUACACAAACCUCCCAUAGUUUUUAUACUUUCAUUACCCUGACCACCCCUGCAUAAGAAAUAAGUGUAAUCUUUUAAACAAAAAAUAUGAUUCAUGCAAUUAAGUUAAACAAAAUAUGAUAUAUUGUAUAGACAAGUCUAAAUAAUAUACAAAUCAAUGUAUCUUUAUUGUUUUUGGUUACAAAAUGCAUCAACAAUUCUAAAGAAAUGUUGUUUAAAUCGCUCUUAUAAUAUAGUGUAACGAACCAAAAAUAAUAAAGAAAUAUUGACUCAUAUAUUAUUUGGACUUGUCUCCACAAUAUAUCAUGUUUUGUUUAACUUAAUUGUAUUUAUCACAUUUUUUGUUUAAAAUAUUACACUUAUUUCUUAUGCAAGAUCAGUGUAAUAAAAGUAUAAAAAUUAGGGGAAAUUUGUGUAGGUGUAAAAAAGUGAGAGAUAUUUUGUAUAAUUUUACUAAAACUCAUGAGGUGUCAAUGUAAUUUACUCUAUAAUGUAUUAUAAAGUAUGUUGGUAUGUGAAUGUGUUUUUCUCACUUGGUAAAUAUUGUUGUAUAUUGUUGAGUGAUUGAGAUGGAAAAGUCUAUAUAUGAAAAAAAAAUACUUAUGUAACCAUAUAUUGUAUUAAAAAUUAGUUGUAUGCUAAGGGCUAGAGUAUCCUUUUAUAAUUUGAAAGGUUAAAUGAGAUAAACACUUAAUUAGUGUGAUAUUUUAUUCCUUUACACUUUAUUUUGAUUUUUUGUUUGAAUAGGGGUGACACCUAAGAGCAUAUAUAUUUUAAACUAUAGUAUCAACAAGGAUGAUAAUUAAAGUAUCAAAUCCUCUAUUUUCUUAGACUGCCCUAAAGUGUUACUUGUUUUGAUUUUUUUAGAAAUAUAAUACAAUUCAAUCUUUAUUAUUCUUGUAUUUAAAUUCCUCAUCAUGUUAUUUUCACUUAGGUUAAGUAUUAUAUUUUGGGUGGAGAGGUUCAUUUAUCAUAUGUGUAAAUGAUUUGUCAUCUAAAUAUACUUUGAAAUAUAUAUUUUUUUCAUCUAAUAAUAUAGUUGGUUGAAACCAUGCUUACCAUUUUAUUAAAAAUUGUCACCAUUCUUUUGUAAAUGGAUCUCUCAUCAUGUUAUACAAGUAAUAUAUCAAAUAUAUUUCAUAGAAAAUUAAUGCAUGUAAUAUAUUAAAGUAAAUAUUUAAUCUAUUGGUAUUCCAAGAGUUUUCUAAAGUUCUCACAUUUAAUAUCUUUGUAUAUAUCUAUAUCUUUAUAUAUACUUUUAUAAGUAUAUAUAUCUAUAUUUAUAUCUCUAUCUAUAUUCGUAUCUUCUUUUUUAUCGGCAAAAAGGAAAGGAUUUAUUAAAAGAAGAGAUAAUUACAAGAGAAAAAGAAGAAAAAAAGAAAGAAAAAGGCUAAAAACUAUUACAACACAAUAUCAAGACAAGAAAUGUGAUUCACUAUCCAGAAAAAGUGGUUUAAUCUUUGCUCAUCUGCCCAUUGAUCCAAAGUCAAGAAUUAACCCUAGUGGAAUCAAGAAUUUUCUCAAAAGAGAAUUGAACAUAAUUAAAAAUAAAGUCAUUCAUAGACCUCCAGAUAGUCCAAAUAGUAGUUAACCAAAUGAUACUCCAACGAUUCAAAUAACGUCUGUGUGGUAUCAUGCCCAUGUGAUUAGUAAAAUGAUGAAUGGGCUAAAGAGGAAGAAUUAUGUUUAUUUUCAACCAAUUAUAGAGAAGCUGUCAAACCGAAUAUGUGAAGUUAUAAGAGGAGAAAAGAUGUUGAGUAGUUUCAGCUUGGUCGUUGCAAAAAGGACAUAAGGUUCCCGUUCCAGGUGCUGUAGAGACUCCCUCUAUCAAUAUUUGUAUCUAUAUCGAUAUCCAUAUUCGUAUUUAUAUAUGUAUCUAUAUCCAUAUUUAUAUCAAUAUCAUAUUUGUAUCUAUACCUCUAUCUAUAUUUAUAUCUAUAUAUAUUUUUCUCUAUAUCUUUAUAUCUAUCUCUAUCUAUAUUUAUAUCUAUUGGCGUGUUGAUAUAUAUUCACGUGUUUAUCAAAUAACGUUUCUAUUGUUUGAGAUUAAAUGUAUAAUCUUUAUAUAUUAGAAAUUUUUUCACAAAAGAAUUAAUUUCCUAGAAAGAAUAAAUCGUGUUUUAUAUAUUUGAAAUCAUUUUUUAAAGUGCAAUAUCAAAAAAACAAAAGUGGCCAAUAGAAAUAUGAAGUAAACCAACUUCAUACUGAAAUCUCUAGUGAUACAUAAAUAUUUUAGAAACAUAACGUGUUAGGAAAUUAGUCUUCUUAUAUCAUCAAACUUUGAGUACAUGUUGUGGUUGAGAAUUGUGAUAUAAUCAUUUUAUUUAUGUUAUUGAUGUCAUAUACAUAAGGAGUCAAAGUUUUCAUUUUCUAUGCAUAAGUGAUAUACAUAAUUGUUAAGAAUUAUUGUGCCUAAUGACAAAACCACACUCUUGAAAAAAAAUUAUACCCUUAAUGUAUAUGUGGAAAACAAAUAGCAAAUAUAUAAUUAAUGACAUUUUACAUCAAUGUCAUCACCUUUCUAUGCUGAAUAAUAAAUUGAAUUAUAAACAAUUAUUAAUAACUAAAAUAAAAUUGAUAAUUCUUGUUGUAAAUAUGGAAACUCUUAUAUCGGAAUAGCUUAAUUAUAGGAGUAGAUGGCUGAGUUAUAGGAGCAUAAUCAUCAAAUUAGAGAUAUACAUUUGUGUAUAUAUUGCCUCUAUGUUUCUGAAUGAAACACAACCCAAUUAUUCCUAUCUUUUUUUUACUUUACAAAUAUAUACAUUUUCUUAUUAUAUAUACAUUUGUAUUUUGUAUUAUAUAUAUAUAUAUAUAUAUUCAUAUGUAGUGUUCCUUAUGUAUAAUGUAUGUUCUAUAUUAUAUAUAUACAUUUGUAUUUUGUAUAUAUUUUUCCAUUUAUAUGAUUGUUUAUUAUGAUAAAUACAUUUGUAUAUUUGCAUGUAAAUUAUAUAUUAUUUAUUUUAUAUUAUUAGUAUAUAUAUAUUUAUAUAUUUAUAUAUUUAUAUAUUUGUACAUAUUGGGCAGCCUCCAAAUUUGCCCUACCCAUGUUUAAGGCAAGUACUCAACCUUAAUUGUCAAUCCUACAACACAUAACAUGUAUCUCCUUGUUUUUACUUAUUUUAUUUUUAUAUAAUAGUAAUUGUAGCAUUAGUAAUUACAAUAAUAGCAAUAACAAAAAAUAUAAUUACAAACAAUGAUUAAUUAAUGAGAAAGUAAACAUUUUAAAUAUUGGUAGUUUUUUUCUCAAAAUCUUUUUUUAAAUAAAAAAUAAUACAAUAUAUUUUAGAGAACAAAAAAAAAAUUCUGUAGAUAUAAGGAUGGAGUGAGUGUCGUGAGUCACCUUUUUCCAGUAGACAAUUCAUAAUGAUCAAGAUGGGUCACCUCUAUUCAAUUUAAUAAUAAUAACAACAAAUAUAAUAAAUAAAACACAUAUAAAUAUCUUAACAAACAAAAUAUUUUCUUAUAAAUAAUAGUAAGACAAAAAAAAUUCUUUAAUUAAGUGAUAAAUGCAAUAAAGCAAAUAAAUUGUUAGAAGUCUCACAUUGAAUAAAAUAACAAAUUUAAUGUGAUACUUAAGUUAUGAGAUUUUCUCACUUAAUAGAUUAGUUUUUUUGGUUGAGUUUUCCUUUUGCGUUUAAGUCAUAACAUAAAUAUAUUAAAAACAUAAAAGCAAUAAUCACAUUAAAGAUGAAGAAAUGCUUGAAAGUGUUCCUUUCUUUUCAUCAACUUAUUAUUUGUAGGGUCUUGCUAUACUAGUUUUGUUCCAAAAAUUAAAUAGAACACAUUAAACCAACAAAUAUAUUUUUAUUUGGAACUAUAUAGUCUUAAUUCUUUAUUAUUUAUUGAAAUAUGUAAGAGAAAGAUAAAAUCUUGUGGUGAAUAAAUAAAACAAUCAAAUAAAUUAAUAGUAUAAAAUAGUCCAUGCAGUUAGAGGAAUCACACUUCUAAAUAUGUGUCACAUGGAUUAGUUGAAAAAUAUAUUUAAAUUAAAAUUUUAAUAAUAAAAUAUUUUUCUGAAAAAAUUAGCAAGUAACACAUGAACUAACAAACUUUUAAAAUAACAAAUAUGCUCCCAAGAUUAGUGAGGGUCCAACUAAUGAAUGAGUAAAUGCUAAUAUGUUUUCAGUCUAUAAUCGACUCCCUAGUCGAGAUUUCAAAUUUAAAAACCAAUGUAAUCCAAAAAUACUAGUAAAGAAAGUUUUAUACAUUUUGACCACAAAAAUAUAAUGUUGAUUCCAAAAACGUGUUACGAAGUCUUCAAAUGUAAUUAAUUAUGAUUGUAAUAUCUUCAUAUUGCUAGUGUAAUCAUUAUAUACAAUUUUCGUGAAGAUAAAAUACAAAUAGUUUACAACAAAAUAUAAUAUCAAUGUAUAUUUUUUUUCAGUGUUGUUGGAACCGGACCGGACCGGACGGUCCGACCAGUUCAACCGUCGCCCGACAACCAUAACGGCAUCGUUUUGGCCAAUAAGUCGUUCCCCAUAUGGGACCGUUUUGGAUCGUAAAUAAUCCGGUCCAACCCGGUUGGACCGGGUUAACCCGUUAUAUUAAAACGAGCAGACCAACUACCCCUUAAAAAUUAAAACAAUUUUUUUAAAAUAAACAAAUAGAAAAAACCUAAAAACUAAAAGACUAAAAGUCUGAAACAGUAAAACCUAAUUGGAGACAAUGAUACUUGGAUAAAUUAGAAUAUUUAAUCUCUAUAUGAGAUAGUUGUGUUUUGAUUUUUAAUUCUAAUUAUAUAAGACUUAAUCUUAUUUGAAGCAUUUUUGUUUUAAUUUAUAUGUAUAUGCAUUAUGAAAAACAUAAUAUUGAUAAGUGUGUUAAUUCAUAUUAACUUAUUUUAAUUAAUUAUAUAAUAUGUAAUUGUAUAUAAUAUUAUGACAUUGUCCGGUCCAGUGGACCGGACGGUCUAACCGGUUAGAACCUGUACAAGACCUCUUCUGGGUUGAUGUCCGGCUCGGGUUUGAUAACACUGAUUUUUUAGAUGAUUAUCCACAAUUAAGAAAUUUUGAGACUUUAGAAAAUUAGGUGAGGGAAGAAUGAUUUUUGAUGAAAAUAUCAUUUACUAAAGUUAAGUAAAAAUCAUUUAUUUCCAUUAAUAAAGUACAAUUUGAUAAAAUAUAUAUAAUUAAGAGUUAUUGAUGAAUGAGUGAUUGAUUUGAAAUUGAAGAUGGGCGAUGUUUUUCGAUUGUUCAAAUUGAACACAGGUGCUCACAUUCCAUCUGUUGCUUUGGGCACUUGGCGUGCUGAACCUGGCGUCGUUGCUCACGCCGUAGCCACUGCAGUCAAGGUAGUCUCGGCGUAAUGAUAAGGUUGUUUGUCUUGUGAUCGGGAGGUUACGGAAAUAUUAUUUUUGCCUAGGUUUAGCUCACUGCUUUAAAUUUAAAUUGUGGUUGCAGUUAUUGCGAUUGUGGCCAUCCAGAUGCGGACUGCGGCCGUUGCAUGUAAAUUAUUUUGUGAUUCAAAAGAAUUUUUUUAAAUUCGAUGUAGCCUCAUCCGAUGCGGUUGCGUUGCGGACCGAUGCGGCCGCAUCAUUAUAAUUCAGUGUCACACUACAAUUGCGGAGUGAUGCGGUUGCGGCAGUAACUGCAACCGCAAUAUUGCGGCCGCAUCAUUACACUCUAUUAGGUUAAUUACACUCAUUCACACUAAUACUCAUGAGGUUUAGCUUAAUUACACUCACCACUCAUGUUUGCAUAGAUACUCUCUAUUAGGACUUAAGCCCGUGAGAAGAGCCCAACCCAAAAGACUAGUCUAUUAGGUGGGAGAACCUCGUGGCUUAAUACCACAUUGAGUUUACUAUUCUACUCAAUGUGGGACUCCUAAUACUCUCAUCCAUGAGAUUUAACUUAAUUACACUUACCAACCCAGCUUGCGGAGAUAUCUAGUGUAAUGUAUGUAUAUAAAUUAUGGAUGAUUUGUGUAGGUGUAAAAUCGAGAGGGAGGGGUACUAUGUUUAGUUUCAAUAAACCUUAUGGUAAUUUAGCCUUAUGGUUAUUUACAAUAAGAGCCAAUAGAUAUGGUUUUUGGAACAAAGAUGCCUUACAAUGGAUCAAUUUGGAAAUGUUUAUGCAGGUUGGAUAUCGGCAUAUCGAUUGUGCUCAAUUCUAUGGCAACGAAAAGGAGGUGAGACAAUUGCAUACUGCAUAAUAUAUUUGUUAUGCCACUGAAGUAAUUUGAUAUUGCUUACCCAUUUCUUGGUACAAUCUGAAAAUGAUUGAGGAAUAUUCAAUAGAAUUUGGUCCACUAAAUUUCCACUCAAUCUUCUGCUUGAUUAAAAGAUGACAAAUUUAUUUUUUUGGGGUAAGUUUUAAAGCUUCACUAUGUUACUUUUGCUAAAUUUGAAGGUGGGUUUAGUCAGAUAUGUUACCUUGUUUGCAGCUGCUAUAGUGAACACACAGAAAUGUACAAACAAGUAAAUCGGUUAAACUAAAUAGUUAAUGAUUUUUGUUGUUAAAACACGUUUGUUAGCAGUGUAAAAACUUCAGAAUAAAAAUGAUAUGAACUUCUGGUCUUGCAGCCCGAGAAAAAUUAGAGUGCUAUUUGGUAAUAAUGCUUUAUAAACAUUCAGAGGUGAAAACACGAAAAUUCAUUAAGGCACACUGACCAAAUAUACAGUAACUCAGUAAUUAAAUGUUACAUAAACAUGACUUAAACUAUUACAGACACAGAUUAAAGAACAAGCUGUUGCUUUUCUUCUGGUGACCAUGCAAGGCUGCAGAUGUACAAUGCAUGAUGAUGAGAAAAGUCCGAGAAAAGGAAGUAAAAUCGAAUUUGCAAUUCGUAUCUUUUAUUUCUCUUAGUCAGUUCUAAGCCACUUGGUAAAGAGCUUCAGACUACAUUUGAGGAUUUGAUGUGAAAGAACUAGCAAGGCAGAGAAGAUAAUAUGAAGUUACCUUCCUGAUUGUAUAUUGCAAUCACAAAGCAGUGUUUACUGCUGAAGAUGAAAUGAGAUAACUGUUUAGAUCUGGAGCCAGAGGUCACACCCACUGACCCACAUGUCCCGAUAUGGCUCAUGAUGGCUAUAGUGUAGAGAAGGGAGGAAAUGGAAUGGAUGCAAGUAAGCUGACAUGUAAAGUUAUGCAAAUAAAUGAUGCUUCUUUUUCUCUAAAAGAAUGAGAAACUGUGGGGCCUAGACAGUUUAUAAUCCUAAUUACGCUUAGCUUGUCUACGUUUGCACUUGACUCGAGCUUGUUUAGUAGAUAAUUGAAGUUUUUGUUUGAAUUUGUUGAUUUUGUUCAUUUAUCUUUAAAAGAGAGAAACCCAGCUUUUAGUUAGCUCAUUUACAAGACGUUCAAUCAGAAGAACGGGUAUGCUGCAUCAUUAAAUAGAAUUGGAAUGCAUAUACUCCAUGCCUCCAUCUUAUUUCCCCAACUUUUGUGGCCAAUGAUGGCCUUUUGCCCCUUUUCCUUCACCCCUUCGCCUCUAACAUUCUGUGGAUUAAAGUAACUACUAUUAGUCUACAAUUUUUCGGGCUAUGAUGAAGUGAAAAUCACCAUUCAGAUUGUGUUGGUUGUAGAAUUUAAAUUUUUAAUUGUUACAGUUUCUAUCCUCUUCUUGGUAUCACACUGUCAUGGUUUAUAUCUAAUGUAGAUUGGUGAUGGCCUGAAGAAGUUGUUUGCUGAUGGUGUAGUUAAACGUGAAGAUAUGUGGAUCACCUCCAAGCUUUGGUUUGUCUUUUUCUGCAGAUUUCUCGAUACUUUUUCAUGAAUUAUUUUUUUAUUAGACUUGAAGGAUGCUGAAUUCAAAGUUGUUGAAUUUGAUUAGAUGGCUGAAAUUUGUAAGAUAACUCAUUUCUCAAUUAACCCUGUAUAUAGAAAGAGGGGAAUUAUAAUAUAUGCAUCAUUAAUGAUUUUUUCUCCUUGCAAAUUAUUGUUCAAUUUUAUUGCUCUUUGUUCAACUCUAAAAACUUUCUACAGAUAGUGAUCUACACAUUCAAAAUCCUUGAAUCUGUACAACAACCAAGCCUUAUUGUCACUCGGUGGGGUUGGCCUUGAAUCUGCACAUUACCUGAAAGAAACUAUAUUAGAUUAGAAAGAAUCUGAAUAUUAUUGAUAGAAAUCUGUAAGAAUUACACCGAACUCUCUAGGUAUUUGAUAGUCCUAAAACUCUCCCUAUGCCCAAAGGCCCUAACUACUCUAGAAAAAUCACAAGACAAAUCUCCUUCUCAACCCCUCUUCUUAUUUAUAGGCUAACUAAUUAACUAACUCUAACUGCUUCAUUAACUAGUCCUAACUAACUGAGCCCCAUUCUUAUCUCUUCUGUUAUAUACUGUCUUAAUCGGGCCUAGUCCUAACAUUACCAUAAAAUCAUGCCCUCCUAAUUUCUGCAACAACCUUUUUAGCUAUCACGGAAGACUAUGACGAGGUUAAAGAUCACACCCUGUGUUCAACAAGAAUCCCAAAUAGAUUUGUAUCUCAAACAUAUGUAGGCUAAUGUUUCUGAACUAGAUCUUAAAUAACACAAAACAUGUAAGUAGAAAGUCCAAUGUGUGGCAUAUAGGCUACAAAUCUGCAACAAGUCAUUUGUAUAUUAACAUUUAACUACAACAAUCCAAAAUCAAUACUUAACUUGACGAUAGAGGGAUUUGGAAUUUUAAUAAAGUACUUGCAAGAAUUCAAAGUUCAAACUUCAGCAUGCAAGCCAUAGUUCUACUAUCUUUUAAUCUCUCAUAUGGAAACCUAACUGUGUUGAAAUCACCUCCUAGGCUUCAAAAGCGAAACAGUUUAUACUUGAGAAAACAGUGUAAUCGUAGUCUUGUUUAAUCAUAAAUAACCUGGUGCACGAGGCUCUGACCUGGUGGGGUCUGAGAGGGUAAAUGUAUGCAGUCUUAUCCCCGUAAGUAGAGAGACAAUUUUUAGGAACUCGUGACUGUAGUUUACAAGGUAGCAACCUUACCAUUAUGUCUAGGUUCACCCUCUAUGUAGUUGAACAAUAGACAUGAAGAAAACUACUGAUUCCCUUUCCCAUUAAUAUUAAGCAAAAUUGAAACAGAAAAUUCUAAAGUAACUAUUGUGUCCUACAUAACCAACAUACUACAUGAAGCUCUAACCGAAGGAAAACAAACAUUCCCAGUCCUUAAAUCUAGAAUCCCGAUUUAACCAAGAACUAAAUUGUCCAAACAUUCCAAUUUACUUUCCUCUAACAACACUAUCUCUGGCUGACUAUUGUAACAACAAUCUUUUUAAUCCUGCCGCUUCCUUGGUUCCUCCAACCUUCUCACAUUCUAAAUAACAAUUACCUUGAUCUUCAUCAUAAUUCACUGUUGUUGCUAGCUUCUCCAAUUCCUUCUUAAAAUGUUUUUUCCACAUGUUAGUCUUCACUUUCUCUGCAACGGAAACAAGGACAAUGUAGNNNNNNNNNNNNNNNNNNNNNNNNNNNNNNNNNNNNNNNNNNNNNNNNNNNNNNNNNNNNNNNNNNNNNNNNNNNNNNNNNNNNNNNNNNNNNNNNNNNNAUGGCUACAUAUAGUAUUGUUUCAAUGCCCAAAAUGACAUUUUUUACUGUCUAAUCAACUUAUACAUGUUUUAGGUGUACUGAUCACUUGCCAGAAGAUGUCCCGAAGGCAUUUGAUAGAACUCUGCGGGAUUUGCAAUUGGACUAUCUUGACCUCUACCUUGUGUGUAUAUCCCAAUGAAACUAGUUUCUUCCAACAACAACCACAGUUAACUUCGGAAUAUUUAACACUUUAUCACUGUUAUCAUGUUCUUAUGUUAAUACUUUGUUUGCCAUUUUACUAUGUUCUUCCAGAUUCACUGGCCAGUUAGCAUGAAAAAUGGGUUUCUUACCAAACCUGACAUACCUAGCACAUGGAGAGCAAUGGAGGCACUCUACAAUUCUGGGAAGGCUCGAGCUAUCGGGGUCAGCAAUUUCUCUGUAAAGAAGCUUCAGGAUCUGUUGGAUGUUGCACAUGUCCCUCCAGCUGUUAACCAAGUAGAAUUGCAUCCUUCAUUGCAGCAACCAAACUUACAUGUUUUCUGUAAAUCCAAGGGAGUGCACUUAUCUGUGAGUGUCCAAAUCUAAGAUUGUGUAUUACAAUUAUGGGUGUUUAGAAAUAUCUGAAUAUAAAGGACUUGAAGGAAUUUUUUGUUAAUUUGAUAUAGUAGACGUUCUGUGAUCACCUGACGAUAACAUUAGAAAGCUCAUGAUUCUGAACUGACAUUCUUUGGAUUUGGACCAUUUAUUGCUUUGAACGUUCUUAUUCAGGGUUAUUCGCCACUGGGUAAAGGACCCGGCAGGACUAAUAUUCUUAAGAAUCCAGUUCUGCAUGAGGCUGCAGAAAAGUUGGGGAAGACACCGGCCCAAAUAGCUCUUCGAUGGGGACUGCAAAUGGGUCACAGUGUACUGCCCAAGAGCACAAAUGUUACAAGGAUCGAGGAAAACUUUGAUCUCUUUGACUGGUCUAUACCUGAGGAUUUGCUAGACAAAUUUUCUGAAAUUAAGCAGGCAAGUCAUUUCAUGCAAUUCUUUGGUUACUUAAUAUGCUACAAUUCCAUGAGCUUUUCGUUGUGUUCGUAUACGAACUUAAUCGCUAAGCGAGUAUGAUACUUAAAAAUCAGUCUGUUUCAAUAGGCAAAUCCAAGUAAUUUAGGAAACUUGAAUGAUAUCUUACACACUGUUUCUGUUCAAUUGCCUGAUUUACUGAUGCAGGAGAGAUUAGUUACUGGAGAAAGUUUUGUUAGCGAGACAUCUGAUGGGUACAAAACAAUUGAAGAACUCUGGGAUGGCGAGUUUUGAACAGACUCCAAACUUUUAAAAUGCAGAAUAAGCUACCCUUUAUGAUUAUUGUAAUAAUUCAUAAUGUGUUUAUUACUUGGGAAUUAAAGUAGACACAUUCUAUUGUGGAUUUGGAGUUUGCAUAUGUAACUUGAAAUUUUAGAAGUCAAUUCUAUAGCUCUUGGGAUACUUUAUUUCUAAAUUGCCACCAUUUUUUUUUGUAUUAUCAAAGGUAUUCCUUCACCUUUUGGGUAAGGAACUAAUCACUUUCGGGGUGCGUGACUGUUCUUCUCAACAAGUGUCGCUCCCAAGAAUUGAAUAUUUGACAUUUUGAUCAUUCUGGGGAUCUAGCGAGACCUUACACCACUAGACCAACACCUUGGUAAGUUCAAAUCUCAAUUUCAUCAUUCAUGUCUAGCUUUCCCUCAUUAGUAGCCAAUGAAGUUGGUAUUGCUUUGGUUAUGGGGUAGUCACUAGAUUCAUCUUUUCCACCAUGUUUAAACUUGCAACAUUGGUGAAACUUCUCCAUCUAUGAUAAAUGAGCACAACUUUCCUUCCUUGUAUGUGAUAUCUAGUGUGAAAAAGAUUCUCCCUUUGACAUUUUAUUGUUCUUGAGUUUGUUCUCCCAAAAUUGUCCUCAUCAAUAGUGCAAAGAUAUCACCACUUGGAGCAUUCUCUUUAUUUUUCCUCAUCUUUGCUAACCAUGUAUCUAAUUUGUUUCAUGAUCAUUAUCUUAUUGGUUGGACACUUUGAGUCAAUGUGUUCCCUUCUUAGGCAUCUAUAGCAUUGAACUUCCCUACUUUUGCUCCUAAGAGAUGCAUCACUUUCCAUCAUGAGACUUGCAAUGUCUUGAUGUGAUUUUCUUAUGGUCUGAUUGCGAGUUUGAUUUUGGAGAGGAAGGAAGGGAAAUAGAAGGCAGAGUCAUCUCAUAAGUGUAUUUCAUGUCUUUCAAAUCUUCUACUGCCCUCCAAAAACUAACUCGCAAACAGACCCUCAGUGGAUGUAAAACCUUUCUUCUUGUCUUUGUCCCUCCAACUAAUCAGGUUGAAGUCUUCUUGUCUUGAUGUGGUUUCCUUAGGGUCUGAUUGAGAGUUUGAUUUUAGAAGAGAAAGGGAAAUAGCAUUGAACUUCCUUCAUUUUUAUUUACCAAAAAAUUGUACCAACUUAUUUAUUGAGUCAAAAAAUACAAGUUAAAUUUGUGAAAUAGUACAAAAAAGAACCAUAUGUCCAUUCCAACCCAAUUCUAUUACAAAAGUGUCACUCUCACCAUCUUUAUCUAUACAACAUAUUAGUUUUCCUCUAUGUCGCUAUCUCACCUUCAUGGGCGUGACGAGAAAUAUGCAAAUAAAUACAAUAGAGUCGUCAUCGAUAUCAAAAUUGGGUGUUUACACUCUAUAAUGCACCAUGGAAAGAGGUCAAAAAACCUCUUGAACAUUAAUGGAUGUAUAAUUCAGUUUCUAAAUUUCCAAAAUGUGUGAAGCACCUCCUAAACUUACCUUUUUGCAUUAAAACACCCCAAAAUCAAGUUUGGAUGUGAAAACAACUCCAUAUAUUUCCCAAAUGUACAAAAACACCCCAUACAGUAGUGUUUAUUUUAUUUUUUAAAAAUCUGAAAUUUAAAUUCAAUAGGUUAAAUUUUAUUUUAAUUUGGUUCUAUGUUUCUAUAACUUCUUUAGUGUAUGACAAUUAUAUUGCCACAAUUACAUUAAUUAGAUAGGAAAGAGUACUCUAUUGAAACACUUCAAUUAUUAUUUUUUUUUAAAAAGAAGGAAAGCAAAUCAUUGAGUAAUGGAAAAAAUUACAAACAAAAAACUUGAAUGAGUUUAAGGAUUUUUGUGCACAAUUUUUGUACUUUAGGGAGUGUUUUCACUCCAAACCUGAGUUUGGGUACAUCGAUAAUUAUUCUUUUAAGGAGUCGGUGAGGGCUUCGAUACUUGCGUCCAUAAAGGAAGUCAAGGAAGCAUGGACGCAACGCACAACACAAUCACGAGGAUUCGAUAAAAAAUAUAUAAAAUGUCAUAGAAUAUGGUUAAAAGCCGACCUCACAUGGUAAGAAUAAGGUUUGAUUGUUGUUGCUCGGACACAGACGACGACUAUUGUGAAGUGUAUGUGCUUCCUUGAAGGAAGUUCAUGGCAUGGAACCAAAACUUGACAAUUAUGGAUUUCAAUUGAUCUACAGAGGAGAUAUUACAAGCCAUGCUCAUGAAAAUGAAUGCAGUUUUGUGGAACUGAAAGGUUCCAUUUAUUACCAUUCCCCUCAAAUAUUUCACAUUUCUUAGCAAAAAAGGGUAUUGUAAAAGAAACAUGUAUUACAUGUCCAUUUUGUUGUGAUGUUUUAUUUUUUACAUUUAGAGAAAAAUGCACAAUAAAUUUGUGUUUCUUUCCUAACUUCAUGGUCUGAAUCAUUAUGAUCUUGACUUCAAGAUCAUGUAAAAGGCCAAAAAGUUUAUGAUGAAGCUUAUCAAUAAUCUAUAGUUGAUUUGAUUGCAUCCAAUAUCUGCAUCAGAUGAGUGACAGAAACUUAUGUUAGUCUAGACAACUUGACUAUGCUACAAAUGUUGUGUUUUGUGACAGAAAAUUAAGGUAAGAAAAUGUAGUUACCUUGUUCUUGUUUGGCAUGUAGAAGGGUUCAAAAACCAGUGGAAAAGGAGUGUCUAGACCACAAACUCUUGCAACAGGUGCUUCUAACUGUACCACAAACAAAAGAAAAAAGACAGGUUUAAGAGACAUGUCCAAGUUGAAUUCAAUUCUAGAAGGUAAAUAUAUAAUUGUUUCUAUAACACCCUAGCCUGUGAUAUGCAACCCCUCUCGGCUCAUGAAUUUAUUAAGCGUACCACCCUUAAGCUUAAAUAUUCCCUGUAAUAUUUUAUUCCCCUAAGAAGGAGCCUCUGCGACUCGAAACCCACGACCUCAGAGACUUAUAGUCAUUGAUUCUGUUGAGUCACUACCAACUUUGUGGUAGCGACUCAAUGAGAGUAAAAUAUGUUCAUGAGAGUAUCACGAGGCUAAGCUUGACAUAAAACAAUUUUACAUGCACUUAUUUAAUUUUAAGGGACUAUAGUGUGAGUUUGACACAAUGGUAAGGUUGUUGCUUCAUGAGGUCACGGGUUCAAAUCCUAGAAACAGUCUCUUCGCUUGCAGAGGUAAGACUGCAUACAUCUACCCUCCCCAGACUGCACCAAGUGGAAGCCUCGUGCACUGGUCCAUUUUUUAUAGCAUGGAAAGAGUAGCAAUGAUAGUCAUGUCGAAGCCAUGCCAAGUUAUAUACAUAAAGGUUGGAACAUACCCUUGAGAAGCAGCGUUCAACAAUGGAAGCUGAGAUUUCAGCACCAAAACCUCCGGUUACAGGAGCUUCAUGACUAAUCUACAUUGUAAAUUCAAUACAUCAUGUAAGUAUACCGAAAUCAGAUACGUGUAUUAUUCGAUAAAGUCUUUACUCACAAGCAGUCUUCCUGUUUUCUUAACCGAGGCUUCCACUGUUUCCCUAUCCCAAGGUAUUAGUGUCUUCAGAUCUAUCAGUUCACAAGAAAUUCCCUCCUGCAGAAUCUCACAAUAAUAUUACAACUCCAAUAUAGAUAGUAUAUUAUGAUAGAUAUAUUAGGACUAUGUUCUUAAGUAUAUAUCAGAAUCAUGAUUGAUUCAUUAAGUGGUGUAAUAGUGUAUGAAUUGAUUAGAAAAAUAAGAGAGGUGAGUAUGUAGUUACACUACCGACAAAGGUGCUCGUGUAGUGGUAGAGGCGCACUACGGCCGCAGGGGAGAACCAUGAUUCAAUCCCUGGAGAAAGUACAAGUGGGAAGGACAAGCCUGGCUAUGCUCGAGGGAUUAGUUCUACCCUCGGGUGGGAAUACGCGGGAAACCAAAUAAAAUACGUAUGUAGUUACACUAAUGGAUUAGACAUUGGAUGAAUAAUGAUUAAACUCCGUCCUCCAUUCCAUUCCUUUCCGGAAAAAAAUGAUUCCACAUACCCAUUGUAUAUAGUCAGUGUUUUCGGUUGCAUAAGAGAAAAGUAAACCAGUGAUAACUUGCUCACCAAACCCAAAAAUAAACGCUGUUUAAUGCAGCAUUCAUGUUCUUGGUGUAAAAAGAAGAGUUUCUUACUUUCUCAGCAUCAAGACAAGCUUGUUCCAUUAUUGAUAAUUGAGCUCCCCAUCCAACAAGUGUAAUAUCCGAACCCUGCCGAACCACCUAGUACAUAUUUCAAUAUUCAGCUAGGUAAAUAUUUCAUCGCAUCGCAUUCAUAAGUAUAUAUAAUGUUGUUUCGAACUUCUUCCACUUCUAGCAAUUAGUGUGACUUAUGUACCUCAGCCUCGGAUAAAGGUAACAUAUAUUCAUCCUCCGGUACUUCUUCAACGGCCAAACGGUAAAGCCACUGAAACCAGGAAUCAUAUAAUUAAAAUUUCGAAAUUUUCACAUACCAUAAAUAUGUGCACAUAAUUCAGUAAUAUUAUUCUGGUAGAAUGCAACCUUUGGUUCAAAAAAUACAACAGGAUUUGGAUCUCUUAUGCAAGAUAGCAAUAACCCUUUCGCUUGUCGUGGACUUCGAGGGAUGACUACCUAUAAGAGAAACACUUGUAAGAGAUUUAAGGAUAAUGUAUCAACCAUGUACAUUGUAGAAUUUGAUAGAAUGUAAUUCAAAGUUCUUAUAUCAGAAUCAGAAACUAAUUUUUUCAAUAAAUGUUCAAAGCACCCGAUAAAGCCCAUUUCAGUCCUUAAACACCACCUAUUGCACUUGAAGCCGCAUGCUUCCCCAAACUUAUAUCGAGAGGCAUUCAGUUACCUGGUUUCCUUCAUUUAAUUAUCCACAAUCCUAAUUCUAUUAGGGAUGACAAUAUAACUCUAAUUUGUGGGUACCCGUCUCCGAACUUGACCCGAGUUUCUCAGGGAAAAGUGGAUUUGACUGGGUUGGGUUUGUUUCUCAUCCCCGAUGGGUUCAGGUUCUGAUUUUGAUGAUACUUGUCCCGAACCCUUAAUUACACACACAUAUAUAGUAUAGUAAAGUUAGGAUUUUAUAUAUAUAAGGGUUUCACCAAACUACCCUUAUACAUGUGUUGGGUCGGAGCUGAAGCCGGAUCAGGUCGAGGAAACUGAAAACCGGUGGGAUCAGGGAUGUGGUUCAUUUUUUCAACCCCGAGGGGUUCGGGAUUCCAGGAUUGGGGAAGGUAAAACCCAACCCCGACCCUCCUCAUUGUCAUCCCUAAAUUCUAUACUUCAAACUAAACUUCAAUGUUAUCCACUGCGACCAGGCUUAAGGUUGUUUGUAUUUAAAUGCAGAAGAUACCCUCAGCCUGUAUUUUAUCAACCAUUCACUGCUAUCUUUUAAGACGCCAUACUAAAUUACAAACCAAUUUAAGAACCUACUCCGCAACUUCGCCACGACUUUCUGUCUCUACUAUCCCACCUUGAUUUAAUAUAACUUAUGUUAAAAGGAUCAAUCUUUGCACUAUUUUGAACAAUUUUGCAAGCACAUACAAUUUAUUACCCUCAUUCUAGUAAAUGACAAAGUAAACAAAAUCUCUCUAUUACACACUCACAGACACAAAUGCUAACAAAGGGAAAGAUAGACCAAAUUAAGGGAUAGAGAUUUAAAAGAAGAUAAACAAAGAACAAUAGGCGAAAGCUAAUAAGAACGGGGAAUAGAAGUUUAGGAACAAUUGUAGUUCUCUAUUAAAGUCCACAUCGACAAACCGAAACACAAAUCAAUCAUUAAAUAAGCAAACUUUACUUGAUAACCAAGAAAUCCGAAAUUACUUAGAACCCCCAAGUAAGUCUAAUAUAUUGACAUAUCCUUUAUACCCUGCAAACCGAAAAAUCAGAAAACAACCAAGCCUUUAUUACACUAGGUGAGGUCGGUUACAUGGAUCGAACGAUCAGAAACCCCCUUUCUAUCUCCACCCCUGAACUUUUUGCACAUACCUUAAACUUAGUAUGUUGGCUUUAUUUAUUGAAAAAAGAGGAACUUUAAACAAGACUACAUAAAAAUAAGGUUAUGAAGUCCGAAUGAAUGAUCCAUACUUUAAUACCGGGAACAUGGCAGAAGAAAGCCUCGGGUGAUUGAGAGUGGUAAUGGCCACCAUGGCCAACAGCUCCAUAAGGGGCUCUGAUUGUUAAACCUAUAGGAAUGCGUCAAACAUUGUAAUGAAAGCAGAUGAAAAUAGAGGUAAGCCAUAAACUUCUAACACUGAAAAGAAAUUUACCACCACAAUUAAAUUGGUUCCCGCUCCGGUAUCUGAAUUUCGCAGCUUCAUUGACAAUCUGGAAACAAAAAGUGGUCAAUUACUCGGCAACAUAGGCUUCGAUUAAUUUCUAGCCAUGUUAAGGGAACAUGCCUGAUCAAAAGCAGGAUAAAUGUAAUCCGCAAACUGGAUUUCUGCUAUUGCUCUAUUGCCCUGCCAUUUAAGAUAUAUAAAUAGCUUAUAAUCAGAUAUAUGAAUGAAACCAACAAGGCAUUGAUCUAGUGGUGUAAGGUCCCGCUAGAUUCCCAGAAAGACCAAAAGGUCAAGGGUUUGAUUCUCGAAAAGGAUUAGCUCCUUACUCAUAGAGUGAGGGAAUACUCUUGGUAAUACGAAAAAGAUAUAUGAAUAAAAAUUACUUAUAUCAGAGUGUUAUAGCAACAUUCGAUAAUCGAAUUAGAAGUAAAUUAUUUAACCUCUUAGACUCACCAUUGCUGCUAGACCAAUGCCAAAGCCAAUGAUACCCUAUGAAUAGUAUUUAAGUACAAAAUAGUUAAAUCAGUGCUAAAGAAAAAAACUAAAUAAUACAGAAAUGAAUAGAAAUAUACUUAGCAACAAAAAGAAGAAAUUCAGUGAAUUGCAUAAUCAAAUUCUUGGAUACAAUUUCAGUGGAAGAAUCCACCAAGUCAUGUUAUAGGUAACAUGAAAUACAUGAAUACCUGUUCACAGAGAGGAGUAUUGAAAACUCUACUUUUACCAAAUCGAUCGGCUAAUCCUGUCGUGCAACGGAACACCCCACCAAAGCUUACAUCCUCUCCAAACACAUAAGCACUGGAAUCAAAGUUCAACAGAAGCUAAGGAUUCAUAUAUAACAUUUACACCGACAAGUGCCAAAUAUAGAAGUAAACAAGUCACACACAUAAUUUCAUGGUUUCAAUUUUCAAUCUAGGGUAAUUUGAAGAUACCUAAAAAACUUAUACUAGCUCAUCUAACAUCACAGAACUUCAAAGUUUGACAUGCAAUACAAUCACUUCAUAUCAGUUUGAGUUCACCAAUUGAAUUAAUCACAAAAGCAAAAGAAUCAUGGGUCUCACACAACUAAUCAACCAUGCUAAAAAAUUGAGUAAGAUUUUUAAUAUACGAAGACCCCGUUCGCGCAUGCAACUUCCAACCACCA
rnacentral:lncRNA from 1 species